rnacentral:snRNA from 1 species
GGAUGUGAUAUCUGUUACCCCAUUGAUCGCAAGGGCUGAUUCGUCUGAUCUGGCCUGCUAGGUACCCCUCUGUCACUGCUCCAUGGGUGCCCCUCCUGAAGCUCUGCGCUCAGUGGAAGAGGACGACUGUCCCAGGUUGGGGAGAGGUUAAAA